rnacentral:lncRNA from 1 species
UCGAUUCUCCAUUCACCAUCAUCUACGGUUUAUCAAUAUUCGAUUUACGAGGUAUGUUCUUUAUUAUAUACUCGCAUUCCAUUUAUUAAUCUGAUCAUUUUUUGAUGAAAUAACAUUGAACUUAACUGUGGUAUAAUCUAUUCUUGCUGAAUCAUUGGUUGUGUUGCUGAAUUGUUGAUUGUAUUUCACUGUGUUUGAGUUUUUUAUUCAAAUAUGCCAAUGUGUACCAACUAUUCGAUGAAAUGCGUAAAUAAUAAUGUGUAUUAAUUUUCCUUCGAAUUUCAAGUGUCAAUAUGUGAAAAUGUGGAGUUCCAUUAAUCUAUGACACGGUCCUAUUGAAUCAUGAAAGGUAAAAAGAUUUUCAAGAAGAACAACCUCAGCGGAUAUUAUUUAUCAUGAUAUUCUGGCUUUAGAACCCAUUAUGAUCCAAUGGAGUUUUUCUGCAACAAAGCUAUCACCUUGAGAAGAUUCUUGAACGAAGGUAAAUCUUUUGAAGAUAUAUUGUCUUUGAAGUGAUCCACUAUGCUGGCUGAAGUUGAGCUCCCACCUUUUUGCUGAAUGAAAGAACAUAUUUGACGAAUCAGAAGUUCUGGAAGUACUCCAACAUUGCUUGCUGAUCUAGAAUGCCCAUUAGUUGCUGACUGUUUUCUUCCAUUGCAGGGUGUACCAAUGGCUAGCUGAUGUGAUAAGUUAUAUCUGCAACUCAUGUUAUAUAAAUGUUGGGUUAAUUUUAGUUUCUUUCCAGAUUUGGUUUAUAAAAUCAUCAUGACUUAUUAACAACUUUGUUCAUAACCUUUACAUAUUGUAUCAAACAUAACAUCACAUAUAACUUUAUGCACUAGAAUGGUGAUAUACCUCGCAUCACACCUAUUUGUUAUUCUAUCAAAAUAUUAAGAAAUUAUGAGUUAUUUUCUGACAUUGGGUUGUCCUUGAUUUUCAGAUUUUGUUCCCAUAUGAAGAAUUCAUAGAAUUUUUCAAUUAGGAGAAGCCAGGCUAUUCUCCUUUUGGACAUAUAAAUGGUGGAAACAGGUAAGUGAAGUUUUAUUUAGGCACUUCGUUUCUUGCUCAUCUAAAAUAAGGGGGAAAUGGGGGAUGUGAAUCUAACUCAAUCUAGAGCAAAACAAAGACAAUGCACCUAUUGUAAACGUACGCAUAUGAUCUUUGUUGGAAAAAUGAUGUCCUCAAUAUUCCAUUGAUUUUUGUUGCAACAUAUGGGUUAUAAAUUCAUUUCUUAUUUUUAAGCAUCCAACUUAAAUAGAUUUUUUCUAGAGUUCUCUAAAGGAUUCCUGAAAGUUAUUUCAAAUUUUUCUAUUUGGCUGUAUUUAAGCUUGAAGAUAAUGCACAGUGACCUGUGUAGUAUUGAAUUUUCAGACUGUAAGAAUCAUUACUGGCUGCAUUUCAGAUGAGAGAAAGUUCUAUUAAAUCCAGUGAAGUCCCGAGCAUGCAGACCUGCUGGUUUGGGAGAGGAUGGUCUCUGGUUGGAUAUAUAAAACUUACGUCAUCCAACCAAAAUGCUUCUGGUACACAUUCCUAUAUAUCGUGAAUCUAGCUUGCCUCUUGAUCUUAAAUUUUUCGACUUCCAAUAUCAUAUAUAUUCUCUAUUCUAAUAUUUUCUUUAUCCUUCUUGCUUACCCAUAUAAAUUGGAAUGUAUUUUCUCUUUUGGUUGUCUGAAAAUUCUUGCUUCGAAUUGUCUUUUAUGCGUAAGUGGGCCAUGAUAUUGUAGAUAGAACUGAUAUCUGCAACUUUUUUCAUGAUUUCGUAAGCUCUCAUGGCUGGUUCUUUGUAGGUUAUGUGAGGGAAGCAAUUGAAAUUUGAAACAUUGAGAUGGAACAAUGUAAAUUCCUUCAUUCUGCAUCUCCGAGAUAAUUAAUAGGUGACAUGCUCUGAACAUUCCUUAUAUUCAGAGUUGUAAGUUAAUGCAGAUUUUGAGUUAUUUCAGCUUAUACUUAUGUUCUAUGGUUUGUCUGUGGAUUUAUUUCUUGAAUUAAUCAGUCCACCAAAAUAUGUAGGACGUAUUAUUAUUUUGUUGAGAGCUUUGGCUGAGUUGGAGAUAAGAAGAGGAUGGAAAUGGUUUAUACAUAUUGUUCAGUAUGUAUAUCUUGACAUCUUAAAAAUAUAAUAGAUAUAUAGUUUAGUGACUGAAUUUAAAUGAUAAACUAAAUUUAUGAUCAUUAAAUUUAAUUGGAUUGAAAAUUUUAACUAUUUGAUGUUGGUUUGAGGUAAAUUCAGUUUAGCGUAUAUGUAAAAAUUCUAGCUCAUGUUUGGUUAGGUGUUUUUGGAGGUUGGAAAGAGAAUCAAUUAAUUGAAUCCAUUUCUUAUUGUUUGGUUUGGAUAAUAAGGUAACCAUUACCCUUACUUGGUAGUAAUUCAAUCACCCAAUUUGUUACCCCUCAAAAUAAAGGGGAGACAAAAGAAAGAGAAUUCCUUACUAAUGAUUUCUUUUCAUUGUUAAACCAAACAUUAAAUAAAAGUAAUACUUAUUGUUACCAUUCCACCCCUUUAUUUGAUUUCAUUCUUUUCAUUCCUCUACUCGAACCAAACGACCACUAAAUUUAAGUUCUCUAAUUCAUUUUUAAAAAAAUAACGAGUGUACCACGGUACCACAUGCAUAAGUUUACAUAUAUGAAUUUUACACUACACGGAGUCAUAUGGAAUGCUAUCUAGAUGUUGAAGCGGAAUGAAUUAGUUAAUUGGUGAAUUGUACCAAAAAAACAACAACUAUCGAUCAGUAUAUUGUAGUAAUGUUUUAGGGGUAAUUGACAUAUGCUUUCAUUGGUAUAGUUAGGAGAUUCUAAAAACAAAGUCUUGGUUGUGAUAUGUGUAAUUUGUUAAUCAUAUUAUUUGGAUUUUUCACUAUUAUCUAUGGGAUUUGAUUUGAUGUGCAUCUUGAAUGUGCUUUUAUGCAGAUUAUAUUAACAAAAGUAAACAAGGAGUCAAAUGGAAGGAACCAGAAAAUAGGGGAUAUUUGUGCAAUUUUUGAAAAUCGCGAAGUAUUGGAAGAUUGAGAGCUGUAGGG